ensembl:lincRNA
CGCCCUUGGGGACACGGCCGGAUGUGGAGGAGCAGGACCUGGAGGACGUGCUGAGGGCAGAGAAAUGGAGACCAAUGGCCAGAUCAGAGCAUCCAGGACCAGAGGGAACGCUACAUCCCCUCAGCCUCCCGGGGACCUGCUGGAGUCAGCAGCCAUCUAGGAAUUAAAUGACAGAGGAGACGAAGCCAGAGCGGAAGCACCCGAUGUAGCGUUCAUCUCUCGUUCCCUCCUCAGCACCUGGCGUGGUAUCUGAUGUCCAGUGCCUGCUGGAGACACGCUUCUCCAGCGAGUGGACGCGGAAAGGAUCACUGCGGAGCACGCCAUCAGAUGCUACCGGCCAGCAGCACGUGGGGGAAGUGCUGAGGUCCACAUGGGGCCAUAGAGAUCAGACUCGUGUAUGUACGCAGAGAGAGGGUGUCUCGGAGCCCAAGCGCCCCCAGCCAGGUCUUCCGCCACCCACCCGCCCAAGUCCAGGGAGCGAAGCCCUAUGCUAGUAUAUUUCAGAAAAAUCAAGUAUUUUUGUGAACGAUAUAAUUCUAACUCUUUAUUGGAGGUGUUAUUUGAGAAGACGACCCAGAAACAUUGCCUGCUCCAGUCCUCCUGA